rnacentral:tRNA from 1 species
GGAGGGCUUAGUGGUAGAGUGUUUGCUUGGUAUGCAGAAGGGUCAGGUUUGAUCCCACGGCAUCUCCA